UACGGGGGGAGCAAGCGUUGUUCGGAAUUACUGGGCGUAAAGGGCUCGUAGGCGGCCAACUAAGUCGGAUGUGAAAUCCCCAGGCUCAACUUGGGAACUGCAUCCGAUACUGGAUGGCUUGAAUUCGGGAGAGGGAUGCAGAAUUCCAGGUGUAGCGGUGAAAUGCGUAGAUAUCUGGAGGAAUACCGGUGGCGAAGGCGGCAUCCUGGACCGGCAUUGACGCUGAAGCGCGAAAGCUAGGGGAGCAAACGGG
rnacentral:rRNA from 1 species